UGUCGACCCAAAAAAUAUUUCAAAGAUGCGAGUAAGAAUCUUUUCACUCAUGGAAAUUGUGCAGUUGCAUUGUCCCUUGUAUUACCAGUUUCUAAGCGACCUUCAUCUGUGAAAUUGUCUGCGAUGGAACCAAAGUUGUUGGUAAACUGCUAGAAACCAUUGAUUCGGAGCUGAGUGAUCCUGAGGAGCAUAAAGUGAAUCCUUGCGUCGAGAUGGUACCACUAGAAAGUACGUUCAAGCACAUACAUGCAGACAUAUAUGCGCAAGUGUAUGCAUUGACUCACCUUCUUUUCCAUCCUUGUGGCUCAGGCAGUUGAGGGCUGACAAUUUUAUAGUUCAAUUGGCGAGUAUUAUAUUGCAUUCAACGUUAGAUAUGGUUUGAAACUACUAUUUUCGUCACAUUCACUUAUCAUUAAUGAGAAUUUAUUAUUAUGGCAGUGUUUGAGAAAGUAGUUUGAUUAAGUUAGAAAUUUGAUCUGGAAAAGUCCUUAUAUUUUGUUAGUUUACAGUGCCAAAAUAUCCGUGGUUGUGUGACUUUGCUAUGCUCUUUCUGGCUUUUUGCACAUCAACUAUACUUUCUCCAAGCCAGUGUUUGGCAUCCCAGCACCAGGUUCAUACUUAUAUAUCCCGCCCACCAACUGAUUUUAGUUAGAAUGGUUGAUAUGGGCGUUUGAAAAUUUGAAUAUGCUGUAGAGUCCU